UGGAGCACAUGGAGGACAAUGGAAACAAUUCUUCUCCAAAUCCAGCAGAAGAGGAGGGAGAUCAUACUUUACGUCAAUCUUCCCGGUUUCCUUCGAGAGGAUCUCUACCGGAAUUAUCCCUACCGGAAUUAGACAAGGUUUUAAUGCUCUUCUGAUGGGUUUGGCGGAGCCGUUUCGAAGGCCUCGUUUUAGAGGAGCUGUUUACGCGAUGCCGAUGUCAGCGCACCCGCCUCCCAUUUAGGCCAUGCCACGGGGUUCUACCUCUUCAAAGCUCGACUCUUUUGUGAAGGUGCCUCAUCAACUACGGCAGGUAAAUGAAACUGCCUAUGAACCACAACUAAUUUCAAUUGGUCCUUAUUACCAUAGUGCUAAGCCGCACUUGAUUGAGAUGGAAGUGUACAAAGAUCAGUGUUUACAAAGGAUUCUUGAGAGAAAAGGCGAGCAAAGCGAGGAUAGAUUUGUGAAGGCCGUGAACUUAGAAUGAGCUCGCAAAUGGUAUUCACCAUCCUUAUUGAAGCGACUUAAUGACCCUAAAGAAUUUGAAAAUAUGAUGUUACAUGAUGGUUGCUUUAUUGUUGAGCUAUUGAGUAAGAAGCUACCGGGUAAUGAUCCUUUUUUCCAACGGAAGUGGGUCCUAAAAGCCAUAUAUUCAUGAUUUCUUGCUACUCGAAAAUCAACUUCCUUUCUUUCUGUUAGUGGACUUGUAUCACGUGAUCAAGGAUCCAGCAGAUGGAGAAGAUUUUGCUUCCAAGGCAUUUUCUGUCCUUUCUUAUUUCUUGCCAGGGCCAAAGAAGUGGAAGGAACCCCUUCCGACCAUCAAAGAUACCGACAAUAUCAAGCACCUACUAAGUUUAGUGUACGAUAAUGGGUAUCCUUCUCCUUGGGGAAUAGGGGCCCAUCGGAACUACCAUAGAAAAAAAAUGGAAAAAGCAAAUGCAGGAGAAGAAGGCGGUCAAGAAAAAUGGAAAUUGAUGUGCUGUGCAAGAGAAAAGGAAAAUGUAAGAAAAGGCCUAGCGGAAUGGCAAUCCUUACGCUGUGCAACAAAGCUGGAAGAAGCAGGAAUCCAAUUCAUGAUCAAUAGCAUCAAAAAGAGAGAUGUGAUGAGUUUGUUUGAUAUAAGCUUUACAGACGCGACAAUGAAGAUUCCAACCUUUGUGGUUGAAGACUGUACCGAGCGUCUCUUUCGCAACCUCAUUGCCUAUGAAAAAUAUGAGGAAGGUUCAACUUAUGUCACUGAUUAUGUGACGUUGAUGGAUAACCUCAUCGACUCAGCCAAGGAUGUGCAAUUGCUUCGUUUCAGUGGAAUCAUCGAAAAUAUGUUGGGUGAUAAUGAAGUUGUUGCUCAAAUGUUUAACAAACUUCGUGAUCACGUUACAUUAUGUGGUGAUACCUUUUAUUACGAGGAGAUAUUUGUUGAGGUGCAGAAGCAUUGUUCAAGACCUUGGAACACAUGGAAGGCGAAAUUAAGGCAUGAUUAUUUUAACAAUCCCUGGGCACUCGUCUCCUUUAUAGGUGCUCUUCUUGUUAUCCUUCUUACCAUCGGACAGUUUAUAACUGCAGUCAUUCCUCUUAUAAAAUAAAGAUUGGAGGCAGGCUUGAGUCUUGGUGGCUGUAAAAUAUGGUAAAUUAAAGCUCAUGCGCUUUUUGCCUUUUAGUUGUUCUUGCUUUUCUCUUUAUGUUUUUCUGAUUGUUGUUAAGUUUAGCUAUUUAGCUUAGUUACUUUGAGUUUGUCUCAGAUGUAUUGUUUUCGUUAUGUUUAUGGUGAUAUCUCCACUCUAUUUAGGG